rnacentral:rRNA from 1 species
UGGGGAAUUUUGGGCAAUGGGGGCAACCCUGAUCCAGCAAUGCCGCGUGUGUGAAGAAGGCCUUCGGGUUGUAAAGCACUUUUGUCCGGAAAGAAAACGCCGUGGUUAAUACCCGUGGCGGAUGACGGUACCGGAAGAAUAAGCACCGGCUAACUACGUGCCAGCAGCCGCGGUAAUACGUAGGGUGCAAGCGUUAAUCGGAAUUACUGGGCGUAAAGCGUGCGCAGGCGGUCCGCUAAGACAGAUGUGAAAUCCCCGGGCUUAACCUGGGAACUGCAUUUGUGACUGGCGGGCUAGAGUAUGGCAGAGGGGGGUAGAAUUCCACGUGUAGCAGUGAAAUGCGUAGAGAUGUGGAGGAAUACCGAUGGCGAAGGCAUGCCCCCUGGGCCAAUACUGACGCUCAUGCACGAGAGCGUGGGGGAGCAAACCAGGAUUAGAUACCCCUGGUAGUCCACGCCCUAAACGAUGUCAACUAGUUGUCGGGUCUUCAUUGACUUGGUAACGUAGCUAACGCGUGAAGUUGACCGCCUGGGGAGUACGGUCGCAAGAUUAAAACUCAAAGGAAUUGACGGGGUCAUAGCUGUUUCCU